rnacentral:rRNA from 1 species
GAUCCUGGCUCAGAAUGAACGUUGGCGGCGUGGAUUAAGCAUGCAAGUCGAGCGCUCAUAGCAAUAUGGGAGCGGCGAACGGCGUAGUAAUACGUAGGAACGUACCCUCGGGUCGAGGAUAGCUAUGGGAAACUGUAGGUAAUACUCGAUAACCUCUGCGGAGCAAAGGUGUGAUUCCGCCCGAGGAGCGGCUUACGCGAUAUUAGCUAGUUGGUAGGGUAAUGGCCUACCAAGGCGAUGAUGUCUAGGGGGUGUGAGAGCAUGGCCCCCACGACCGGAACUGAGAUACUGUCCGGACACCUACGGGUGGCUGCAGUCGAGAAUCUUCCGCAAUGGACGAAAGUCUGACGGAGCGACGCCGCGUGCGGGAUGAAGGCCCUUGGGUUGUAAACCGCUGUCAGAGGGGAUGAAAUCUUCGGAGGUACUCCUCCGAAGUUGACAGAGCCUCAAAGGAAGCACGGGCUAAGUACGUGCCAGCAGCCGCGGUAACACGUACUGUGCGAACGUUAUUCGGAAUCACG